rnacentral:rRNA from 1 species
CAAUAGCGUAUAUUAAAGUUGUUGCAGUUAAAAAGCUCGUAGUUGGACCUUGGACCUGGACAGGCGGUCCGCCUCACGGCGAGUACUGUCUUGCUGGGUCUUUCCUCUUGGUGAUCUGUUGUUUCGGCAGCAGGGAACCAGGACCUUUACUUUGAAAAAAUUAGAGUGUUCAAAGCAGGCUCGACGCCGGAAUAUAUUAGCAUGGAAUAAUAAAAUAGGACGUGCGGUUCUAUUUUGUUGGUUUUUGGAAUCGCCGUAAUGAUUAAUAGGGACAGUCGGGGGCAUUAGUACUCACAUGCUAGAGGUGAAAUUCUUGGAUUUUGUGAAGACUAACUUCUGCGAAAGCAUUUGCCAAGGAUGUUNUCAUUNA